rnacentral:tRNA from 1 species
GGAAGUCGACCAUGACGCUGCCCUCCGAAGGCAGAGGUCGUGGGUUCGAAUCCCGCCGGGUCCGCCA